CACUUACCUAAUCAAUUUGGAAGAUUGAGUCACAAAUAUGAUUGCUUGGCAGUUUGAUUUAGCCCAUGCCAAUUAGAUCAGUCAUGUAAUGACUGAUUGAUGAGACCUAAAUCUAAUUCUCUCCAUAAAUAUUAAGUCCAAUGGUCUUCCACCAUUGUAGAUGUGCGGGCAUGCUACUGGCGUUGAUUGUUCUCAAUUGAUCACUGUGGUUUAGUUACAUC
rnacentral:lncRNA from 1 species